UACGGAGGAUGCAAGCGUUAUCCGGAAUGAUUGGGCGUAAAGCGUCCGCAGGUGGCAAUGUAAGUCUGCUGUUAAAGAGUCUAGCUCAACUAGAUAAAAGCAGUGGAAACUACAUAGCUAGAGUACGUUCGGGGCAGAGGGAAUUCCUGGUGUAGCGGUGAAAUGCGUAGAGAUCAGGAAGAACAUCGGUGGCGAAGGCGCUCUGCUGGACCAUAACUGACACUCAGGGACGAAAGCUAGGGGAGCGAAUGGG
rnacentral:rRNA from 1 species